rnacentral:rRNA from 1 species
GAACGGUGUCUUCGGACAUAGUGGCGGACGGGUGAGUAACGCGUGAGAAUCUACCAUCAGGUCUGGGACAACCACUGGAAACGGUGGCUAAUACCGGAUGUGCCGAGAGGUGAAAGGUUAACUGCCUGAUGAUGAGCUCGCGUCUGAUUAGCUAGUUGGAAGUGUAAUGGACUCCCAAGGCGACGAUCAGUAGCUGGUCUGAGAGGACGAUCAGCCACACUGGGACUGAGACACGGCCCAGACUCCUACGGGAGGCAGCAGUGGGGAAUUUUCCGCAAUGGGCGAAAGCCUGACGGAGCAAUACCGCGUGAGGGAGGAAGGCUCUUGGGUCGUAAACCUCUUUUCUCAGGGAAGAAAAAAAUGACGGUACCUGAGGAAUAAGCAUCGGCUAACUCCGUGCCAGCAGCCGCGGUAAUACGGAGGAUGCAAGCGUUAUCCGGAAUGAUUGGGCGUAAAGCGUCCGCAGGUGGCAAUGUAAGUCUGCUGUUAAAGAGUGAGGCUCAACCUCAUAAGAGCAGUGGAAACUACAUAGCUAGAGUACGUUCGGGGCAGAGGGAAUUCCUGGUGUAGCGGUGAAAUGCGUAGAGAUCAGGAAGAACACCGGUGGCGAAGGCGCUCUGCUAGGCCGUAACUGACACUGAGGGACGAAAGCUAGGGGAGCGAAUGGGAUUAGAUACCCCAGUAGUCCUAGCCGUAAACGAUGGAUACUAGGCGUGGCUUGUAUCGACCCGAGCCGUGCCGUAGCUAACGCGUUAAGUAUCCCGCCUGGGGAGUACGCCGGCAACGGUGAAACUCAAAGGAAUUGACGGGGGCCCGCACAAGCGGUGGAGUAUGUGGUUUAAUUCGAUGCAACGCGAAGAACCUUACCAAGGCUUGACAUGUCGCGAAUCCUGGUGAAAGCUGGGAGUGCCUUCGGGAGCGCGAACACAGGUGGUGCAUGGCUGUCGUCAGCUCGUGUCGUGAGAUGUUGGGUUAAGUCCCGCAACGAGCGCAACCCUCGUUUUUAGUUGCCAGCAUUAAGUUGGGCACUCUAGAGAGACUGCCGGUGACAAACCGGAGGAAGGUGGGGAUGACGUCAAGUCAGCAUGCCCCUUACGCCUUGGGCUACACACGUACUACAAUGCUCCGGACAGAGGGCAGCAAGCAUGCGAAUGCAAGCAAAUCCCGGAAACCGGAGCUCAGUUCAGAUCGCAGGCUGCAACUCGCCUGCGUGAAGGAGGAAUCGCUAGUAAUUGCAGGUCAGCAUACUGCAGUGAAUUCGUUCCCGGGCCUUGUACACACCGCCCGUCACACCAUGGAAGCUGGUAGUGCCCGAAGUCAUUACUCCAACUGUUCGCAGAGGAGGAUGCCUAAGGCAGGACUGGUGACUGGGGU